rnacentral:rRNA from 1 species
GACGAACGCUGGCGGCGUGCCUAACACAUGCAAGUCGAACGAUGAAGCCGGAGCUUGCUCUGGUGAAUUAGUGGCGAACGGGUGAGUAACACGUGAGUAACCUGCCCUUGACUCUGGGAUAACUGCUAGAAAUGGUAGCUAAUACCGGAUACGACCCUCGGAGGCAUCUCCAGGGGGUGGAAAGAAUUUCGGUCAAGGAUGGACUCGCGGCCUAUCAGCUAGUUGGUGAGGUAACGGCUCACCAAGGCGACGACGGGUAGCUGGCCUGAGAGGGUGACCGACCACACUGGGACUGAGACACGGCCCAGACUCCUACGGGAGGCAGCAGUGGGGAAUAGUGCACAAUGGGCGCAAGCCUGAUGCAGCAACGCCGCGUGAGGGAUGACGGCCUUCGGGUUGUAAACCUCUUUUAGUAGGGAAGAAGCGAAAGUGACGGUACCUGCAGAAAAAGCACCGGCUAGCUACGUGCCAGCCGCCGCCGUAA